UACAGAGGGUGCGAGCGUUAAUCGGAAUUACUGGGCGUAAAGCGCGCGUAGGCGGCUUUGCAAGUCGGGUGUGAAAUCCCCAGGCUUAACCUGGGAACUGCAUCCGAUACUGGAUGGCUUGAAUCCGGGAGAGGGAUGCAGAAUUCCAGGUGUAGCGGUGAAAUGCGUAGAUAUCUGGAGGAAUACCGGUGGCGAAGGCGGCAUCCUGGACCGGCAUUGACGCUGAUGAGCGAAAGCUAGGGGGAGCAAACGGGG
rnacentral:rRNA from 1 species